GCCCGAGUAGCUCAGUCUGGAUAGAGCAUCGCACUCCUAAUGCGAGGGUCGCAGGUUCAAUUCCUGUCUCGGGCG
rnacentral:tRNA from 1 species